rnacentral:rRNA from 1 species
AUUGAACGCUGGCGGCAGGCCUAACACAUGCAAGUCGAACGGUAACAGGAAGAAGCUUGCUUCUUUGCUGACGAGUGGCGGACGGGUGAGUAAUGUCUGGGAAACUGCCUGAUGGAGGGGGAUAACUACUGGAAACGGUAGCUAAUACCGCAUAACGUCGCAAGACCAAAGAGGGGGACCUUCGGGCCUCUUGCCAUCGGAUGUGCCCAGAUGGGAUUAGCUAGUAGGUGGGGUAACGGCUCACCUAGGCGACGAUCCCUAGCUGGUCUGAGAGGAUGACCAGCCACACUGGAACUGAGACACGGUCCAGACUCCUACGGGAGGCAGCAGUGGGGAAUAUUGCACAAUGGGCGCAAGCCUGAUGCAGCCAUGCCGCGUGUAUGAAGAAGGCCUUCGGGUUGUAAAGUACUUUCAGCGGGGAGGAAGGGAGUAAAGUUAAUACCUUUGCUCAUUGACGUUACCCGCAGAAGAAGCACCGGCUAACUCCGUGCCAGCAGCCGCGGUAAUACGGAGGGUACAAGCGUUAAUCGGAAUUACUGGGCGUAAAGCGCACGCAGGCGGUUUGUUAAGUCAGAUGUGAAAUCCCCGGGCUCAACCUGGGAACUGCAUCUGAUACUGGCAAGCUUGAGUCUCGUAGAGGGGGGUAGAAUUCCAGGUGUAGCGGUGAAAUGCGUAGAGAUCUGGAGGAAUACCGGUGGCGAAGGCGGCCCCCUGGACGAAGACUGACGCUCAGGUGCGAAAGCGUGGGGAGCAAACAGGAUUAGAUACCCUGGUAGUCCACGCCGUAAACGAUGUCGACUUGGAGGUUGUGCCCUUGAGGCGUGGCUUCCGGAGCUAACGCGUUAAGUCGACCGCCUGGGGAGUACGGCCGCAAGGUUAAAACUCAAAUGAAUUGACGGGGGCCCGCACAAGCGGUGGAGCAUGUGGUUUAAUUCGAUGCAACGCGAAGAACCUUACCUGGUCUUGACAUCCACAGAACUUUCCAGAGAUGGAUUGGUGCCUUCGGGAACUGUGAGACAGGUGCUGCAUGGCUGUCGUCAGCUCGUGUUGUGAAAUGUUGGGUUAAGUCCCGCAACGAGCGCAACCCUUAUCCUUUGUUGCCAGCGGUCCGGCCGGGAACUCAAAGGAGACUGCCAGUGAUAAACUGGAGGAAGGUGGGGAUGACGUCAAGUCAUCAUGGCCCUUACGACCAGGGCUACACACGUGCUACAAUGGCGCAUACAAAGAGAAGCGACCUCGCGAGAGCAAGCGGACCUCAUAAAGUGCGUCGUAGUCCGGAUUGGAGUCUGCAACUCGACUCCAUGAAGUCGGAAUCGCUAGUAAUCGUGGAUCAGAAUGUCACGGUGAAUACGUUCCCGGGCCU